rnacentral:tRNA from 1 species
GAUUGAACCCUUGUCUCUUAUGUCUCCUGCAUUGGCCGGUGGGUUCUUUACCACUAGUGCUACCUGGGAAGCCCAUAGAAUACUGGAGUAAGUUACCAUUCCCUUCUCCAGGGGAUCUUCCUGACCCAGGGAUUGAACCUGGGUCUCCUGCAUUGCAGGCAGAUUCUUUAUCAUCUGAGCCACCAGGGAAGCCACUUAGAAGUCCAGACCAGUGAUCAAAGAAGAUAGCUGCCUCACUCACCUUUGUCCUGUUCUGGCUGCCUCAGGCCCUGGGCCCGGUUCUGGGCACUCACUGGAAGAGGAACUGUGAGAAAUAAGCCCAUAGUCUUGAGGGGGAUGCUCCCCUGCCCUCCACCUGCCACCAGGCACAUACACUCUGGCAACAGCACAUGGACUCCAGCCAUGCCUGCACGCCCCUCCCCCACCCUCCCUUCUCUUCAGAGGGAAGGGCUCCUACAGAUGCUCUUCUGCAGCCUGGAGGUACUCCAGGGACUCCACAGCCAUGUCCUGGUUGCACUGAGCCUGCCUCCUGCCAGCAUUUUGGGGCUCUGUCCCUGCCCAGCUCCUGGACCCACUCCCCAGCCUAUUCCUCACCCCAGCCUGCACCGAAGUGACUCCUCAAGCUUCAGGACUCAGUGGGGCACAGUGGCAGUCACGUGCAUGCUGGGACCGAGACGGACGGGCCGCAGCUCCCCCUGCCACGCCCCCGGCCCCCAGAGGCCCGGCUGUUUGCCUCCCGGAGCCGUCUGACCCAGGUAGGGGGAGAUGGAGGUAGGCUCUCCCUCGUUGUGUCUCUGCAGUGGGUGGGAGGACUCUAAGA